AUAGAAAAUAGAUACUGGAAGGUUCUAUUUUCAAAAGUUCCGAUGCCUGAGGAUAGGACUGCGGUGGAUUAGGCUGUUGUGGGUAUAAAGGACCCACAAACCUAUAAUCCAUGCGGGCGUUGAGAGACGGAGCCCGGAGAUGCGUUCUGAGACAAGAAUGCAGGUCCUACGGGACGCAGCAGUCGCGAAAACUUUACAAUACCUGAAAGGGUGAUAAGGGAAUUCUGAGUGCUCCAGCAUUGCUGGAGCUUUUCUAGAGUGUAAAAAGCUUUGGGAAUAAGUGGUGGGUAAGACGGGUGCCAGCCGCCGCGGUAACACCCGCGCCACGAGUGGUAAUCACGGUUAUUGGGUCUAGAGCGUUCGUAGCCGGCUUAGAAAAUUCUUGGUGAAAUUUCAUGUAAAACAUGGAAAGUGCCAGGAACACUUCUGGGCUAGGAACCGGGAAAGGCUAGGGGUACUCCGAGGGUAAGGGUUAAAUCUUGUAAUCCUUGGAGGACCACCUGUGGCGAAGGCGCCUAGCUGGAACGGCUUCGACGGUGAGGGACGAAAGCCUGGGUCGCAAACGGGAUUAGAUACCCCGGUAGUCCAGGCUGUAAACGAUGCCCGCUUGAUGUAUCGCUCCUUUCGAAGGGGCGAUGUGUCGUA
rnacentral:rRNA from 1 species